rnacentral:rRNA from 1 species
GAUGAACGCUGGCGGCGUGCUUAACACAUGCAAGUCGAACGAUGAAGGGGGAGCUUGCUCCUCUGGAUUAGUGGCGAACGGGUGAGUAACACGUGAGCAAUCUGCCCCUGACUCUGGGAUAAGCGCUGGAAACGGCGUCUAAUACCGGAUACGAGCCGAGCAGGCAUCUGCAUCGGUUGGAAAGAACUUCGGUCAGGGAUGAGCUCGCGGCCUAUCAGCUUGUUGGUGAGGUAAUGGCUCACCAAGGCGACGACGGGUAGCCGGCCUGAGAGGGUGACCGGCCACACUGGGACUGAGACACGGCCCAGACUCCUACGGGAGGCAGCGGUGGGGAAUAUUGCACAAUGGGCGAAAGCCUGAUGCAGCAACGCCGCGUGGGGGACGAAGGCCUUCGGGUUGUAAACCUCUUUUAGCAGGGAAGAAGCGAGAGUGACGGUACCUGCGGAAAAAGCACCGGCUAACUACGUGCCAGCCGCCGCCGUAA